GAUGAAGAACGCAGCGAAAUGCGAUAAGUAAUGUGAAUUGCAGAAUUCAGUGAAUCAUCGAAUCUUUGAACGCACAUUGCGCCCGCCAGUAUUCUGGCGGGCAUGCCUGUUCGAGCGUCAUUACAACCCUCAGGCCCCCGGGCCUGGCGUUGGGGAUCGGCGGAGCCCCCCGUGGGCACACGCCGUCCCCCAAAUGCAGUGGCGGUCCCGCCGCAGCUUCCAUCGCGUAGUAGCUAACACCUCGCGACUGGAGAGCGGCGCGGCCACGCCGUAAAACACCCAACUCUUCUGAAGUUGACCUCGAAUCAGGUAGGAAUACCCGCUGAACUUAAGCAUAUCAAUAGCGAGGA
rnacentral:misc_RNA from 1 species